rnacentral:misc_RNA from 1 species
GAGUGAGCCGCCUCCGGGCGGACCCACCAACCCAUUGUUAUCCGACCCCGUUGCCUCGGGGGUGACCCGGCCUUCGGGCCCGGGGCCCCCGGUGGACCCCAAUCAAACACUGCAUCUUUGCGUCUGAGUGAUUAUUGAAUCAAUCA